GGGCAAGUGGCGGAAUUGGUAUACGCGCUAGUCUUAGGAACUAGUUCCUCACGGAUUGGGAGUUCGAGUCUCCCCUUGCCCA
rfam:Parcubacteria bacterium C7867-006 C7867_00034, whole genome shotgun sequence.